rnacentral:rRNA from 1 species
AAAAUGACUCUCGGCAACGGAUAUCUAGGCUCUCGCAUCGACGAAGAACGUAGCGAAAUGUGAUACUUGGUGUGAAUUGCAGAAUCCCGUGAACCAUCGAGUUUUUGAACGCAAGUUGCGCCCGAAGCCAUUAGGCUGAGGGCACGUCUGCCUGGGCGUCA